UACGAAGGGGGCAAGCGUUGUCCGGAAUCAUUGGGCGUAAAGCGCGUGUAGGCGGCUUGGUAAGUCCGCUCUGAAAGCCCGGGGCUCAACCCCGGGAGGCGGGUGGAUACUGUCAAGCUCGAGUCCGGAAGAGGCGAGUGGAAUUCCUGGUGUAGCGGUGAAAUGCGCAGAUAUCAGGAGGAACACCAAUGGCGAAGGCAGCUCGCUGGGACGUGACUGACGCUGAGGUGCGAAAGCGUGGGGAGCAAACAGG
rnacentral:rRNA from 1 species